rnacentral:rRNA from 1 species
UACGUAGGGGGCAAGCGUUGUCCGGAAUCAUUGGGCGUAAAGCGCGUGUAGGCGGCCAGGUAAGUCCGUUCUGAAAGCCCGGGGCUCAACCCCGGGAGGCGGAUGGAUACUGCUUGGCUCGAGUCCGGAAGAGGCGAGUGGAAUUCCCGGUGUAGCGGUGAAAUGCGCAGAUAUCGGGAGGAACACCAAUGGCGAAGGCGACUACCUGGCCUGUUCUUGACGCUGAGGCGCGAAAGCUAGGGGAGCAAACGGG